rnacentral:rRNA from 1 species
CAGUAGCCGCGGGAAUACGAAGGGUGCAAGCGUUACUCGGAAUUACUGGGCGUAAAGCGUGCGUAGGUGGUGGUUUAAGUCCGUUGUGAAAGCCCUGGGCUCAACCUGGGAAUCGCAGUGGAUACUGGGUCACUAGAGUGUGGUAGAGGAUAGUGGAAUUUCCGGUGUAGCAGUGAAAUGCGUAGAGAUCGGAAGGAACAUCUGUGGCGAAGGCGACUAUCUGGGCCAACACUGACACUGAGGCACGAAAGCGUGGGGAGCAAACAGGAUUAGAUACCCCCGUAGUCCCUGUCUCUUAUAC